rnacentral:rRNA from 1 species
AUUGAACGCUGGCGGCAGGCCUAACACAUGCAAGUCGAGCGGAUGAAGGGAGCUUGCUCCUGGAUUCAGCGGCGGACGGGUGAGUAAUGCCUAGGAAUCUGCCUGGUAGUGGGGGAUAACGUCCGGAAACGGGCGCUAAUACCGCAUACGUCCUGAGGGAGAAAGUGGGGGAUCUUCGGACCUCACGCUAUCAGAUGAGCCUAGGUCGGAUUAGCUAGUUGGUGGGGUAAAGGCCUACCAAGGCGACGAUCCGUAACUGGUCUGAGAGGAUGAUCAGUCACACUGGAACUGAGACACGGUCCAGACUCCUACGGGAGGCAGCAGUGGGGAAUAUUGGACAACGGGCGAAAGCCUGAUCCAGCCAUGCCGCGUGUGUGAAGAAGGUCUUCAGAUUGUAAAGCACUUUAAGUUGGGAGGAAGGGCAGUAAGUUAAUACCUUGCUGUUUUGACGUUACCAACAGAAUAAGCACCGGCUAACUUCGUG